UACAGAGGUCUCAAGCGUUUGUUCGGAUUCAUUGGGCGUAAAGGGUGCGUAGGCGGCGCGGUAAGUCGGGUGUGAAAUCUCGGAGCUUAACUCCGAAACUGCAUUCGAUACUGCGUGCUUGAGGACUGGAGAGGAGACUGGAAUUUACGGUGUAGCAGUGAAAUGCGUAGAGAUCGUAAGGAAGACCAGUGGCGAAGGCGGGUCUCUGGACAGUUCCUGACACUGAGGCACGAAGGCCAGGGGAGCAAACGGG
rnacentral:rRNA from 1 species